GACGGUACGCUGUCGCAGGCGAGUCCUGGCUACACAUAUAUUUGCCCGUGUGUAUAAUCUUUGGUGGGAGACAUUUGGCGAACAGAGGCAGGAAAGGCUGCUCCAGUCCAGUGUUUAUCUAGUUGUUUGAUUGAAGGUCUGUUUCCCGGACAUAAUUUUUGGCACGGUCAGCUCCAUUCCAGGUCGUGUGCAAUGCUCAUUGUUGUGGCACACUAUUUACUGUUGACCCGUAUUAUCUCUUGCCAUGUAAACCAAGUUAUCUCAUUCCAGUGUUUGCUAAUUUGGUGUGUUGACGGGACAGUUCUUUCCUUUCAAUUCUAUAUAUACAACUCACUAGUACUAUUGAGUUUGGUAUUUAUGAUAUCAAAUUCUUGUGGUAGCCAAAAUCCAAUUCCAAUUUCUUAAAUUCUAGGCCCAGUUCAUAGGAGCCAGUGAAACUUCUGGUGCUUAUUCUAGACGUCAUUUGGCUGCAAUUCUAAUCAACGAUGUAAAAGACCGAUUCCCUAAUUCCAGAACACAGUCACUUGACAAUCCUAUGGAAAGGGCGGGCAAAAGUGCGUACCAGAACACAGUCACUUACAAUCCUAUGGAAAGGGCGGGCAAAAUUGGGUAAUCCUAUGGUCGCUGUGUCAUCCAUUUGGAGCUCCCAAUUUCGACUAAACUUGCUGGAAUGGUACUUCCAAAUACUCCAGCACAUGAGAAUAACAUUUUUCACGAAAGAAAAAGGACGGGACUGCCAAUUGACUCUUCUUUUUUUGGCGAAACCAAUUGAACCUUGACAUGUUACAAUAUACGGAAGGGACCCUCUUGGGAUGGAAUCGCUACUCCCAAUAUGGCCCAAAAUUGCCGCAAGAGAUCGCAACAUUCGUUUGAUGAGAAAUAAAAAUUAUCGAGAAUUUCCGUGUGUAAAAAGAGAUGCACCAAACUCUCAUCAUUGCCUCUGGACACAAGAAAUAGUCAUAUGUAUGAAGAUCCUUUGGCAUCUAGUAGUGUUUAGGGAUCCUUUGGUAUCGAACAAAACAAACCAUCAUGCUUACGUCGACAGGAUGAUUUCCAUAGUCACCCAAAAAAGAUAUGAACUUCAGUAUGUCUUGUUAGAGACAUGCAGGCCUUAGCCGAAGACAAGAUAUGAACAAUCUUUUUUUUCCAGUUUCUGAGAGAUUUCGUGUCAGCUGCUAAAGAUCAAGCAACUCACAGGCUUGCACUGAAAGUGAGAGCUGAAAAAGACGGCGCAACACUGGCGGAGCUUUAGCCUUGGACAUAAAUUCUUCCUUCUGUUUUGAGUAUGAGCAUAGUUCGAGGAAGGCAAGUGGAGGUACUUAAAAGCCCCGGCAAAGCAGUCUUGAAUGAUUAUUGUCUUGAUAAAGCCAUAUUGGUUUCGAAAAGAGAAAGUUUCCCUGAUUGAAACUGAGGUAAGGAGGAGCUGUAGACUCCAAAAGCUGUCCAAAGGUUUUAAAAAAGCAAUCUGUAGAGACAAAGAUUGUCUGGCUUGUCAUGCUCUCCCACCUAGUAUCCCUGCCAAAAUUAUUAAAAGUCUGAACACAUCUUUCUGCAAGGUUUCUGAGAAGGACACUUCUGAGGCAAUGAUUACCAAGAAGGCCAAGAAAGCUAAAGGAGGGAAUCCAGGUGGGGAAGCAAGCAAAGGAAGCAGGGACAUUAGCAAAUAGAGAAUCACCCCUCCAACCAGCAUUAUAAGUGGUAGUUAGAACUUUUGUCAUGGGCAUUUUGCAUCUGUACUGCAACGGAAAGUUAUCUUGGGACCUGUUUGUGUUUCUUCUCUGUAAUGAACUUAAUGAGACUGAGUUGACUUUUGCUGUAAUGAUCUCUAUUAAUAUCUGCUUCCCUAGGAUCUGUUGCCUCACCCCCAAGUUAUGGAAUUUGUUUCUCUCUGGUAGUGCUUCUAUCCAAUCACAUCAUGAGCCGACAAUGGAAUGUGCUUAACUGGAACAUUAGAGGGAUCAAUGACCCCAAGAAAUGGACUGCCAUUGCCAAUAAGAUUGAUGAAUCACAAUGUUCCAUACUCUGCCUUCAAGAAACUAAGAAAGAUAGUUUUGACAACACUUUUAGCAAAAACUUCUGCCCCAAAAGAAUCUCCAAAUUUGCUUUCCUCCCAUCUGUUGGAGCUGCUGGUGGCCUAUUUGUUGCUUGGAAUGAAAAUGUCUUCUCUGGACAGAUUUAUCAUGUUGAUGAUUUCUCCAUACCUAUCCAAUUCACCUCCACCCACAAUGGGGAAUCUUGGAUCUUAACAAAUGUUUAUGGUCCUUGCCAACAAAAUGAAAGAAUUCUCUUCCUCAAUUGGUUCUAGAAUUUUCAAAUAUCAGAUGAUGAUAACUGGUUAAUUGUGGGAGAUUUAGACUUUAUCAGAUACCCACACAAUAGAAGCAGAGACGGGGGGUAACAUUAAUGACAUGCUCCUAUUCAAUGAAGCACUUAACAAGCAGGCCCUGGUUGAGAUUCCUCUCAAAGGUAGAAGAUUCACUUGGAGUAAUAUGUAGGAUUCACCAUUACUUGAGAAGCUAGAUUGGUGUUUCACAUCUGAAGCAUGGUCCCUUAAAUACCCUGCUACCUUUGCUUAUCCUUUGGCUAAAACCACUCCUGAUCAUGUGCCUAUAAAGAUUCAGAUAGGCUCUUCCAUCCCCAAAACCAACAUCUUCAGAUUUGAAUUUUUUUGGCUUGAGCACCAGCAAUUUAAAGAUGUGGUUAGCUCCAUUUGGUCACAACUAGUAGCAUAAACAGACAGUGCAAAAGUGAUUGAAGCCAGAUUUAAGAGACUGAGAAAAGGACUAAACGUUUGGGCAAAGGGCCUUUCUGAUCUGAAGAAGAUUAUUGAAAACACCAACUUCAUGAUCUUAUGUUGGGACACUAUUGAGGAAUUCAGAGAACUAACUACUGAAGAAAACAAUGGCAGAAAUCUCCUUAAGAUGCACCUGGAAAUAACACUAGAUCAUCAGAGGUAGUAUUGGAAGCAGAGAGCAACAAUCAGGAAAAUCAAAGUGGGUGAAGCCAAUACCAAGUACUUUCAAGCCAAAGCUACUAUUAAAUUCAGAAACAAUUGUAUUGCCAUGUUGAAAGAUGAAUAAGGACAUGAACAUCAGGAUCACCAGGCUAAAACUGCUAUUCUAUACAGAGCAUUUAAGGCCAGACUGGGAACCAGGGUUCCAACAUCAAAUCCACUUUUGUUGCAUCAACUGCUCCACCCUCAUGAAGAUCUUUCUGAACUAGAAGCUCCAUUCACCAAGGAGGAGAUUGACUAUGUCAUCAAGCAUAUGCCUGCAGAUAAAUCUCCUGGCCCUGAUGGUUUCAAUGCUGCAUUUCUGAAACAUUGCUGGGAUAUUAUUGCUCCUGAUUUUUAUAAACUAAUUGCAGAUUUUCACUCAGGCCAUGUUAACAUUCAGAGUAUCAACUACUCCUUCAUUACUCUCAUCCCAAAGAAGGACCAUGCAGUUACACCAGCAGAUUUCAGGCCUAUUUCCUUGUUGAAUUGUACUCUCAAAAUCAUCACCAAGUUGCUGGCAAAUAGACUUCAGAAGCUCAUUCUUAGCAUGGUCCACAAAAACCAAUAUGGUUUUCUGAAUCACAGAAUGUAUCCAAGAUUGCCAAGCAUGGUCAUUUGAAUAUAUCCACCAAUGCCAACAGAUCAGAAAAGAAAUCAUUCUUCUCAAAUUGGACUUUGAGAAAGCUUUUGACAUGUUGAAUCAUGACACCAUUAUUGAGAUCCUACAAGCUAAAGGUUUUGGUGACAAGUGGAUCCACUGGAUUAAAAUGAUUUAUGGCUCUGGGUAUUCAUCUGUUCUGCUUAAUGGAGUCCCUGGCAAACAAUUUCUCUGUAACAAUGGUGUGAGGCAAGGAGACCCUAUGUCACCCCUGAUAUUUGUGAUUGCUGCUGAUUUACUACAGUCAAUUUUCAAUGAAGCCUGCCAUGCUUCCAUGAUUGAGUCACCUCUCAGCCACACAUCUUGCCCAGAUUAUCCUAUCAUUCAAUAUGCAGAUGACACUAUCUUAGUGGCCAAGGCUGAUCAUAGACAGGUCUAGCAUAUCAAAAAUCUCCUAUUACACUAUGCUCAGUACACAGGACUCAGAGUGAACUAUGCAAAGUCUACAAUGAUCUCUAUUAACACUCCUGCUGAGAAGAUGAUUGAACUUUCUAGCAUUUUAGGAUGCAAGAUUGGUACUCUACCACUUAAUUAUCUGGGGCUACCUCUGUGUGUUACCAAGCCUAAAGUGGAGGAUUUCAUUCCUUUGCUCCACAAAAUUGAGACUAGGUUACUAAGUUGCUCUACCAUGUUGUCCACUGGAGAUAAACUCACCCUCAUAAAAUCCAUCUUCACAAUUAUGCCCACUUUCUUCAUGAGUACUCUGAUGAUACCCAAAAAAGUCAUUAAGCAAAUCAACACUUAUCUUAUGAACUGUUUUUGGAGAAAAUAUGGCACCUUGGAAAGAGGUACUGUGCUAAUUGCUUGGGACAAAGUUAGCAGACCAAAAAACCAUGGUGGACUUGGGGUUUUAGAUCUCCACAUGCACAACAAGGCCCUUCUCCUGAAAUUCUUGCAUAAGUUCUUCAACAGAGUGGACCCACCAUGGGUGAAUAUCAUUUGGGAGAAACACUAUCAUAACAGGCUACCAGGGGAGCAGAAGGUGGGAUCUUUCUGGUGGAGAGAUAUUCUUAAACUUCUCCCAAUGUUUAAGCAUCAUGCUGUCUGUAAAGCAGGCAUUGGAGAUUCGGUGUGUUUUUGGACUGACAGGUGGCAAGAGCUACCACUCCUCACUAAAUUCCCCGAGCUCCAUUCAUAUGCUAUCAAUCAGGCAAUCUCCUUGAGCGGUGCCCUUGCGCACACAGACAUCAGCCAACUUUUUCACAGACCUCUCUCCCAGUUAGCAUUUGAGCAAUUCACCUUCCUGCAAAUGAUAAUGAGUGGGCAAGCUUCUUCUACUCACAAUGACAAAUGGUCAUACACUUGGGCGUCACCUAAUUACUCAUCUAUGAAAAUGUACAAAGCAAUCAGAGGGGAGAGCACAACCCAUGACAUUUUCAGAGCUCUUUGGAAAUCAGCAUGCAGACUCAGGCAUAAGAUCUUCUUCUAGCUGUUGCUUUGGGAUAGCCUGAGUACUAGGAACUUAAUACAUAGGAGAAACAUGUAUCUGGACGACUACAAUUGUGCCCUAUGUGCUGAUGCCACAGAAGAAACAGCUGUUCAUCUGCUCUGGGAUUGCCAAUUUGCUUCGAGGUGCUGGCACACCAUAGUACCAAACAAGUUCAGAGGUAUUUCUGUAUAUGAUGAAAUUCAUCUCUCCAUGAGACACCUCCCAUCAGACAUUGCAAUGGACAUCAUUAUUUAGGGUUGCUGGGGCAUCUGGAUGAGUAGAAAUGACAAAAUUUUCAGGAGAGCGGCCCCAUCAGUGGACACCUGGAAGCACUAUCUGAAAGAAGGACUUCAAGCUUCAGAGCUCCGAGCCAAAUCAUCAAAGUCAGAGAAGAUCAGAUUUUGGAUAGCACAGAACACUUAAUUUAAUCAUGAGGUUUCCUAAAACUGGCAUUGAUUGACUUAUACUAUACUUUGUAUUUGUACUGUUCUUUUAAUUAAUGAAAAUAUACCGUAGAACAAUUGUUCUAUGGUUUCGGCUCAAAAAAAUAUUGGUUUCUUUGAAUAAGCUCUAAGAUUACAUUUUGCAACCUAGUAUGAGCCGAAAUCUUUCUAAUUAUAUUUAUGGAAUUGUGCAAAAGGGAAAUAAGCGUGUAACCUUGAAGGGCGCACCUUUCUCGGGCAUCAGUGUUAUACAUGAGUCAUUGAUGCCCUAAAGAUACAUUGUCCCAUUGGAAUGCUUCAGACAACUCGUAUAAAUCCCUCGAGAUAAUGGGCCAACCCUUUUUUUGUAAAAAAACCGGUGUUAGAAACCCAUUUGCCCCAAGGGAUUUACCAAAGCACAAGGACAUCAUGCAAACUUGUGACAAGUUUUUCUCUAUACCUGAUGGUGGCAUUGGCAUGAAAGAAUUUUGUUCCCUGAUCGCCAAACUUACCCAUUUGAUAGUGUCUCUUUGCUUUUUUCAAUAAAUUCUUUGCUAGUUAAGAAGAGAUUCAGGCUCAGCUUGCAGUUGCUGAAUUGUGUUGUGCUUAUUUAUAAACUGUUGUGAAAAAUUAGCCUAAAAUAAGCAAAAGCGGGUCAAACAAACACUAAAAUAAGAAAAACAAGUGGGGAAAUGGGAUUAUAUAUCCAUAUUGUAGUUAGAGAUGUUCAUAUAUAUUCAAACAAGAGUGAGGCUUUACCUCAAAACUUGGAAGAGGUUUUGUGAAUUGCAAAGAAAGAAUCCACUUCAUGGGAUUAAAUAUCACAUUUUGCUUGACAUAUUUGUAAUGGUCUGACCUCAGUAUCUAGAGUGCAACUAGAUAGUUAUGCAGGAAAAGUUACAAUGAAUGAAGCUAAGUAACUUUUGGAUAGUACCUCUAAAAGAUAUGAUGAUUAGAACUCAAAUGAGCUAUUCUCAACACCUACUCCCAAGAAAAGAAGUGUGCUUACAUUGAGUAGAGAAGAUAUGAAAGAAACUAAGAGAUCUAUGCAAGAUAUAUAUAUAUAUUUCAUCUGCCAAGUGAAGAAAUUGCCUCCAAUGGGUUACACUCUUCUAACUAAUACAUGUGGUCAUGUAAUUAGAGUUAAUUAUUUAUAUGAAUUUGAGGACCUCCAAUGGGUGACACUCUUCUAACUAAUACUUGUGGUCUUGUCAUUAGAAUUAAUUCUUUAUAUGAAUUUGAUGAAGGUGAUAUUUCGAUUAAUUAAAAAAACAUUUCAACAUGUACAUCAAGAGGGAUCUUUCUGAGAAUUCUAAUAGAAUUGAAAAUUUGUACCUUAGAGAGGACCAUGAAUGAUAUCAAAGAAAUUGUUAAAGAAUGUUCCAUAAUCUAAACUCAACCAGAACAUGUUAUGCAAACUCGGAAAAUUAGAACUCAAUAACCCACCGCAAUGCCAAACGCAACCUUAAGCUUGCCACUUAUUAGCUUCUUGAGGUUCUAGCCACCACUUAGAGAUCUCCGAAUUUCUCGAUUGCUUCAGAGAGAGCUAGAGCGAAUUUAAUACUAUUAUCAGUGUUAGCAGAGAGGACGGAUAGCUGUGCUUGCCAGACUCUAACCACCCUCCCUUGAUUAUAUAAUUUGACCGCUAAAUUCUUGGAAUUGCUAGGCUCACUACUGCAGGAUACUGCUAACGCGACACUACGAUCAGAGACCCUUUGCCGAAACUGUGUGCGAUGCAAUAAUCGCAAACGAUGGUGUAAAAAACCCGUCAAAAAGGUGUAAAAUGUUUGCGAUGGCGGAGCCAUCAAACACGGUUCAGAUUUUAGUUGCGUGUGCAAUGAAGGACACACGGUUAAUCCAUUCAAACUGUCUGCGAUGAGGCAGAACAACAGAAACGGGCAGCCAUAACAAUGUGUGUGCGAUGCAGGACACACGGUUAAUCCAUUCGAACUGUUUGCGAUGAGGUAGAACAACAGAAACGGGCAGCCAUAUCAAUGUGUGUGCAAUAUACGGCAUACGGUUAACUCGGACAAACUGUUUUCGAUUAGGGAACACAACAGAAACGGUUCAACUUAACAAGAUGUGUGUGAUAUGCGGCAUACAGUUCACAUGGAUGAACUGUUUGUGAUGAGCCAAAAGAACACAAAUGAGUCGUGUAAACAAGAUGUGUGUGAUACGUGGCAAACAGCUGACUCGGAUGAACUGUUUGUGAUGAGAAAUUACAACACAUACGGUCAUUACAAUUCCUUCGUGUGUGAUUUUGUGUGUACAAAAAACUUUGAAAAAUGCAAAUAGUUGCUUGCGGUGGCGGAGCAUCGCACACGAUGCGUCUGUGAGUACUCGUGUGCGAUGACUAGUAUGUUACAAAUACGUUUCCUUAUGUUAACAUGUGUGUGAAUUUGCAAUAUGGACAGUUAAUAUGCAAAUGCCUUCUGGACAUCGGGCACACGCUUAAACUCAAUGUAUUGUGUACGAUACUAAUACUUUCCAUGAAAAUUUAUGAACUUGGGUAACAACAUUUGAGUAACAUAUAUAUAGUGGUUACACUAUUCGACAAAAGGAGGAUCUUCGUAACACGGUUUUGACAACCAUAUGGUCCAUAUCUACAUACUUAACAUAGUAACAACUAUCACAUUUUAAGAGGCUAAGGGCCAAUAACCAUAUGGUCCAUAUCUACAUACUUAACAUAUAUAGUAACAGCUAGCACAUUUCAAGAGGCUGAGGGCCAACAACCACAACUAUCCACUGGAAGCAGCUUGAUCACGGCGACUCGGCAUCUCGUCAAUGAAAAGGAAGAGCCCUCCUGUGCCUUGGUAGAGCAUGAGUAGAACAGUGUCUCCAAUUUUACAAUAUGGAUGCAUUGCCACGAGAAGCGAGAACUUGUUAAUUUGAAUGGUUUCAUUUUUGUGGGAAAUGCAGUACCUUGCAAUCACUUUGGCGUUAUUAGCAGGCACAAGUGUAAUUCGACCACGCCGGGAAAUCGAUCCAGAAACUGCUACAGGGGGCAAUUUCUGUUGACAUGUAGAAUAAAAAACAAUUGUAACAUAUCGUUGAAGAUAUAUAUAGUUUAUGAGCAUCAACAUUAAAAUAAGACAUUUUACCAGCGCUUUGUGCACACAAUUGGUCUUGUUCAGUGUGUGCACCAUAGGUCUAAUUAAUCCCAUCCAAAUCCAGCAUUUAUAUGUUGUGCUAUCUCUGUCAGAUUAUCAACAAAGUUUAUGACAUGCUUCACGUCCUUCCAGUGAAAUUUGGUACGCUUAGUAACAUACAGAUCGUUCACUAUGCAUCCAACAUAUCCUGCUUAAAAGGUGGAAAGGUAUUAUUUAUUCAGAACAUGGCAGAAGAAUAUAUAGUGCGCAUAAAUUGGUAAAUAGAAUUUGUUACUGCCCAGGAACGGAGUCAGAAUAUGAUAUCACAAUUGGUUGCUUACAUAGUGAUCAAUUGGUUGCUUAAAUAGUAAUAUGACAGCAUGGAGAAAGUUGAAAGGACAGCAACCUCGAUCGGACUUUGAUCGGCUGAUGACAUUGGGGAAGUAAACAUCCAUGUUAAUUAGAUCAGGCUAUGGUGCACGCACUAGAACUUUAUUGCCAGCUUUCAGUUCAUAACACUUAGACAUUUUUCUCCAAAGGUCCGCAUUAAAAUAGGAGUGACCAUCUUUAUCAAGUUAUAUGCUAACCGUCAUUGUAAAUCCAUGCUGCAUUGUCAAUAUGACAUCCUGGGAGUCAUCAGCAAAGUAAAGCCCAAGAUUUCCUUCUACUCCUGUUCUUGCAAAGCAAGGGAUGUACUGCUUGAAAUGAAAAUUAAGAUCGUCAAUUAGAUAUAUUGAAAUAACAGAGAAAAAUGCAAAUAUGGGAGUAACUGAUAGAACAGAUCCAUAUACAGAUGAAAGCAAAGUACAAAAAUAUAAAAUUAAAAAUAGAUAAUGUAACAAAGAUUUGAUGCAAAUAUAUAGAUAAUGUAGCAACAGACGGUAUAUGUUCACAAAUUUAGGCCAUGCCGACCAUGGUAGGUUGAGAUUGAACAUACCGAGCGCUCCCUGAAGUCAUCCGGAAUCGUGAGAUAGAACUUCGUUUCCGACUGGCCACGACCAGAGUUGCCCGAUUUUUGCUCGCACUGUGGACACAUGAAUGAACACCCACGAAUCAGCUAGAACAAAAAUGAUUGCACGGCGAUUUCCGCCGGUUGAUUAACAGCGACGGACGGACUGCGAUAAGAGAUGAGUGAAUAUUUCACUAAUUAAGUUGAUUACCUUCUCCAUGAGAAAAAUCCCCGGCCCAAUCCCGCAGAAAACCCCAGUCGACCAGAGUCUAGAAUGUCGGUGCAUAUAGGCGGCGGAAAGCGGUAGUGGCAAAAUCCGGUGCCGUUUGGAGCGCGACCUACGCCCGCCGCCAACAGCCGUUGAGCUUAGGGUGCAGAGUUGUGGAGGAGUCCGCGGCGAGUGAGUGGGGACGAAGUGGGCGAUGGUUUUCUUUUUCCUUUUGCAUGUGUGAGUGAACACACACGGUCCGCAGAGGUGACGGAGAUGAAUCGUGUGCGAUAGUAAAUCACCGAGAUUGAAUGGGAAUCCAAAUUUCCUUUGUCCUUCAUCCAUGAGUUUUUUUCUACGAUGAACAUAAGCCCUGCUAAUCACCGUGUUCAAAUUUGACACUUUUCCGGGUUCAUUUACAAUAUUCAGGGGAUUAUGUGCAUUUUGUAGGCAUUAAUGCACAUAAUUCAAAUUCAAACAAUUGGUGCAUGAAAGGGUGCACAAGAACGGUCUGGAAAAACCAUACUCGUGGUAUUUAGUAAUUUCUCAAGCCCUUUACAAGGAAGGGGUAGAGAUUUUAAUGGAAUGCGUGGCAAUAGUCAACCACAAAUGCGUCGUUUACUGGGUUAUCAACUAUAUAUAGAACAAUGAAAUAUGUGCUUGGAAAACAUGACGGCUGGCAUGGUGCCAUGGUAUGGCCUCACCGUGCCCUGGUUAAAAGCUGAGAAGGUUUGAUUUAUGUCAUCAUGCACGCCCUUCAUAAAUCGAACCAUCACCGAGGAAGUUCAAUGCUUUCGAGAGGGAAAUCACCAAGAUCGAAGGGGAAUCCAAAUUUCCGUCCUAGUUUGUCAUUCAGUUUUUUCCAACGAUCAACAUACCGCCUCAAAUGCAACGUGUUCAAAUUUGACAUUUUUCCGAACUCAUUUACCAUAUUUAGGGGAUUAUGUGCAUUUUCUAGGCAUUAAUUAUGCACAUAAUUCAAAUUCGAACAAUCAGUGCAUGAAAAGGUGCACAAGAGUGGUCUCGAAAACCAUGCUCGUGCUAUUUAGUACAUUCUCAUGCCUUUUACAAGGAAUGGGCAUAUAUUUCAAGGAAAUGUGUGGCAAUAGUCAACCAUAAACGCGUCGUUUACUGGGUUAACAACUAUACAAAAAUGAAAUACAUGCUUGGAAAACAUGACGCCUGGUGUGGUGCCAUGGCAUGACCUCACUGUGCCCUGGUAAAAAUGUCGUCAUGCACGCCUUUCAUAAAACGAACCAUCACAGAGGAAGUUUCAUGGUUUCGAGGGGGAAAUCACCAAGAUUGAAGGGGGGGGUCCAAAUUUCCUUUGUCCUUUGCCCACGAGUUUUUUUAUAUGAUGAACAUACAACCUGCAAAUCACCGUGUUCAAAUUUGGCACUUUUCCGGGUUCAUUUGCCAUAUUUAGGGGAUUAUGUGCAUUUCCUAGGCAUUAAUGCACAUAAUUCAAGUUCAAACAAUCGGUGCAUGAAAGGGUCCACAAGAACGGUCUGGAAAACCAUGCUCAUGCCAUUUAGUAAAUUCUCAUGCCUUUAACAAGGAAUGGACAGAUAUUUCGAUGAAAUGUGUGGCAUAAUAGUCAACCACAAAUGUUUGUUUGUUGAAUUUUCAACUAUAGAAAAAAUGAAAUAAAUGCUUAAAAAACAUAACGCCUCGCAUGGUGCCAUGGUAUGACCUCACCAUGCCCUGGUAAAAAUUUGAGAAGGUUUGGCUUAUGUCAUCAUGCAUGCCCUUCAUAAAUCGAACCAUCACCGAGGAAGUUCCAUGCUUUCGAGAGGGAAAUCCCCAAGAUUGAAGGGGAAUCCAAAUUUCCAUCCUAGUUUGUGAUUCAGUUUUUUCCAACGAUCGACAUACCGCCUCAAAUGCAACAUGUUCAAAUUUGACAUUUUCCCGGGCUCAUUUACCAUAUUUAGGGGAUUAUGUGCAUUUUCUAAGCAUCAAUGGACAUAAUUCAAAUUUGAACAAUCGGUGCAUGAAAAGGUGCACAAGAAUGGUCUGGAAAACCAUGCUCGUGUUAUUUAGUACAUUCUAAUGCCUUUUACAAGGAAUGGGCAGAUAUUUCAAGGAAAUGUGUGGCAAUAGUCAAUCAUAAACGCGUCGUUUAUUGGGUUAAUAACUAUACAAAAAAUGAAACACAUGGUUGGAAAACAUGACGCCUGGCGUGUGCCAUGGUAUGGCCUCACCAUGCCCUGGUAAAAAUUGGAGAAUGUUUUCCUUAUGUCGUGACCUUUCAUAAAAUCGAACCAUCACCGAGGAAGUUUCAUGGUUUCGAGGGGGAAAUCACCAAGAUUGAAGGGGGGGGGUCCAAAUUUCCUUUGUCCUUUGUCCAUGAGUUUUUUCUAUGAUGAACAUACAACCUGCAAAUCACCGUGUUCAAAUUUGGCACUUUCACUACAGGAAACAGCUACUUUGCCGUCUGCCAUGGCGGACGGCAAAGGCUCGAAAGGCGGACGGCAAAGACCUUUGCCAUCAGCCGCGGACGGCAAAAGGCUCCGGCAAAGAAGGCUACGGUAAACAGCUGCUUUGCCGUCUGCUUCCUGGCGGCGGACGGCAAAGGCUCUUUGCCGUCCGCGGCGGACGGCAAUAAUUGCGCUGUCAGUCCGUUAAGUGGCUAACGGCAGACCUUUGCCGUCCGCCGCAGACGGCAAAGAGCCUUUGGUCUUUGCCGUCCGCCUUAUGAUGUCAUGUACACGUCACUAGAUGGCAGGUUCUUUGCCAUCUGCCACUGAUGGCAAAGUGCAGGUUCUUUGCCGUCUGCCACUGUAGGCAAACUGACCAAAUGGGUCAGCUCCCAGGAAGCAUAGUUGGCUGCCACGUGGCUUCUUUGCCGUCCGCGGCAGACGGCAAAGGCUCUUUGCCGUCGGUGGCAGACGGCAAAGAGCCUGCAUAUUGUCUGUUUUUUCUGUUUUUUAUUAAAUCCCACAAUUUGCAGCACAUAUCACAUAUAUAAGUUUCAUAUCCAGCACAUAUCCAACACAUAUCUAGCACAUAUCACAUAUCCAGCACAUAUCACAUAUCACAUAUCCAGCACAUAUCACAUAUCACAUCAGUUUCAUCCAUACACAUUGUUCAUACAUAAGGAAGUUCCAUCCAUACACAUUGUUCCAUCCAUAUAUAUAUUACAAUGCAAAGUGUCAUGAAGAUAGCAAGCUAGAUACAAUGCAAAGUUUCAUCAAAGGCACUCCAUCAUAGCAAGCUAGCUUCCAUCAAGUGAAUGAAAUCUGCAAAAUGGUAAAUAAGAAAGUUAGAAAUAGGUGACUAGAACAAGAAGAAGACUAGAACAAGAAGUAUAUGUCAUUUAUGAGCUAACUUAGGUGAAAUGGAUCAUAUAUGAGCUAACUAAGUUGAAAUGGGUUGUUUAUGAGCUAACUUAGUUGAAAUGGAUCAUUUAUGAGCUAACUUAGUUGAAAUGGGUCGUUUAUGAGCUAACUAAGGUGAAGGGCAUCGUUUUUGAGCUAAGUAAGGUGAAAUGGGUCAUUUUGGAGCUAACCUAGUUGAAAUGGAUCGUUUUUGAGCUAACUUAGUUGAAAUGGAUCGUUUUUUAGGUAACUAAGGUGAAAUGGAUCUUUUUUAGCUCACUUAGGUCAAAUGGAUCGUUUUUGAGCUAACUUAGUUGAAAUGGAUCGUUUUUGAGCUAACUUUGUUGAAAUGGAUCAUUUUUGAGCUAAUUUAGUUGAAAUGGAUCGUUUUUGAGCUAACUUAGGUGAAAUGGAUCAUUUAUGAGCUAAUUUAGUUGAAAUGGAUCUUUUUGAGCUAACUUAGGUGAAAUGGGUCGUUUAUGAGCUAACCUAGGUGAAAUGGGUCGUUUAUGAGUUAACCUAGGUGAAAUGGGUCGUUUAUGAGCUAAUUAUGCAAUUUUUGACAUAAGUAAGCUAAGUACAUAUCGUUUUAGAGCUAACUUAGGUAAAAUGGAUGGUUUAUGAGGUCAGUAAGCUUAUUAAGUCAUUUUGGAGGAAAAGAAGCUAACUCUAGGUCAUUAUGGUAAGCAUAUUGGAGGAAAUAAAGCUAAGUCUAGGUCUUUAUGCAUUUGUUAAGCAAAACACUAGAGAAACUUACCGUGAUCAGGGAGGUGUAAGAGCGGGCUGGCUAGUGCCGGUAGCUGGAGAAGGAUCAUGCGAUGCGUUUCUGGAGUUAAGCUGCACCAAAGAUCAUUUCCAAUGUCUCGUUAGCAUUAUGACACUCAAAUGUUAAGACUAGCAAGUAAUGUCCAUUCAAAUUAAACUCACCGUGGUCCCAGGAGCAAUCACUGGCAUCGGCGGAGCGGUCUGACCGGUCUUCUCGCACACAGACUGCACAUUUGGUUUUGACGACUCAGUCAUACUAGUUAGUAAUGAGACAAACACUACAUGAAUGUUUUGGCUAAUCUGCAGAAGAAACUUACCACAAGGAGCUCGUACAUGGCCCUUGCCUGCAUGUCAUUCCGUGCCCUCUCCUCCUCCAUCAUCUUUGUCGUCCUCUCCUCCAACUCCCGCUGCCUCUCCGCCGCCUCCGCCAGAAGUUUCUCCGUUCUAUCUCUCUCACUCUGUAUAGCAGCCUGCAACACCACUCACAUGACCAUUUGUAAUCAUUGACGGAAGCGCACACAAUGUAAUGGAGAAAGAUAGCUGAGUACGUAUCACUAACCUUGAUGGCGAGUUGCACUGGCCGUUCACGAGGCCUUAUCUCAGGAGCGGAGCUCGACUGGCGCGCCUUGAUCUCUGGGAGAGUGCUAGGACAACGGAUAAGUCCAUCUCCAAUGGCUAUGGAGCCAUGGGACCUCCCGCCACCAGAUAUCAUCACCAGCUCUGGAUCAAUGGGACCCUGGCUCGGGUUAAAGUCCUCCCCUUUCCUCGCCUUCCCCUCAUCUCUAUAUCUCACGAGCUUGUUGUGGGAGGAGAUGUUGGUGAAGUUGUUUGCAUCCUCGAGGUCAGACUGAGAGAAAGCCUUGACUUUCUUGUAAGAGCCAGUGUGGGCCAUGGCAUACAGGUCGUACACCUCUGGCACCUUAUCCGCCUUAUUAUGGCGUGCCUGAAAGAGAGAAACAAUGAAAAUUAGUAACUAAAGGGCUCAAGCUAGCAUGAUGAAUGAAUUGCAUGAAUCAUGAAGCAAACCACAUACCCAGUUGCGCCCGAACUGAUAUAAGUUGGAGCUGCCUUGAUGGUGUGGCACACCUUCCAUUUGGGCACGUUUGUCCUUGGCCUGGUUGUGGAGGGCUAGCCAUUCUUGUGAGCACCACUCAUCGACCAACACCUCCCAACAAUCCAUCCGAUCCGCACACCAUCUCGGAGGCGCCUAAGUUAGCAAAUAGAAACUUGAGCGGUACGGCUAAGAAUUACUAAAUGAAGGAACUUAAGUAGAAGGCCUUAAGAAUUACCUUCAUGUACUGCUCCUUACUCAGGAACUUAUCGCGGCACGCCGGCUUGGUCUUCUUGAUACCACGCAAGGCGUAGUAGUCUCGAACAGCCUGCACCCGAGCCUCGUGCCGUAAGUUCUGGAGUAGGCGCUUGCAGACGUUCUCGAUAACAUUUGCGCACUCCUCCUCGUAUCCCUCCUCACACCUGUAGAAUGUCUGCAAUCAAAUGAGACAAUAUUGAUUAGUACAAUUAAUAACUAGCUAGUUGAAGAUUUUGAAAUGUGUAAAGGAGAAAUUACCCAGAACGUCCUGAUCACCAUGUCUGCCCUCGUGUCGCACACGACACCGUCGAUAAUGACAUCCGGCGGGGCCGGGGCAGCCACGUAGUGCUCCCAGCUCAACCCAAGCUCUGGAAGCCGACCCUCACCAGGCAACGUGACAAAUCCCGGGAAGUUUUGCCGGCAAAGAACUCCAAGGACGGAGUUGGGCCGACGGACACUAUGAUGGUGGUCCCAACCCCUGCAGCAUGACAAGGCCAACGCAUUAGUUAUUUGAAGAAACGUGAAUGCAGAAGGUACAAAAAUUUUAAAUGCACUUACGUACCUCUCCCCAUCAGGGAAGAUCAACCACCUCUGCUCGCGGGUCGCCGGCACGGACGGGAGCCGUGUAGCACCACGCUGGUAGACGGUGCCACCCUCCUCCUCAAGAUCAGUCGGCUCCCCGCCAUCAUCAGCAUGGCCACUCGGCUCCUCGGGCUGAUCCGGCCAGGUACCCCAUCCGGACGUGUGCUCCUCCGGGGUCUCGUGGGCCGAACUCUCGUGGGCCGAAGGCCAGUCGACCCGAGGCUCGUGGGCCCAAGACCCGUGGACCGGAGGCUCGUGGACCGGAGUCCGUGUAGCCUCCUCCUCGGACGAGUCCACCCUAGCAGUCACGUGCUCGGGUGAAACAGCUGGGGGUGGCGGCGAGGAAGGCGCCCUAGCAGUCACCCUACCUCCUCUCCCGCGACCAUGUGCCCCACCUCCUCUCUUCCUACCUCGUCCCCUGCUGGGCACCGCGGUGGACGAAGAAGGGCCCGGCGGUGUGGACAUACUGUCCAGCAACGCUCGGCGAAGAGGUACGUCUGGAAUCGAAGACCUCAGACCACGCGCCGAGGAAGAAGGAGCCUUGGCGCGCUCCCGACCAGUGCCCACCAUCUUUCAACACCUGCCAUGACAAACAGUAAACGAAAUUAGUACAACAUAAAAAAAA
rnacentral:lncRNA from 1 species